UGGUCAAGUUAUUAAGGGUGCAGGGCGGAUGCCUUGGCACUAGGAGCCGAUGAAGGACGUGAUAAGCUGCGAUAAGCUUCGGGGAGUUGCACGUAAACUUUGAUCCGAAGAUUUCCGAAUGAGGAAACUCACUUAGAGUAAUGUCUAAGUAUCAUUAAGUGAAUACAUAGCUUAAUGAGGGGAACUCAGGGAACUGAAACAUCUAAGUACCUGAAGGAAGAGAAAGAAAUUCGAUUCCGUAAGUAGCGGCGAGCGAACGCGGAUUAGCCCAAACCAAUAAAGUUUUCUUUAUUGGGGUUGCGGACAUAUCAUAACGAAGAGGUAUCGUAAUUGAAGAGGUUUGGAAAGACCCACCACAGAAGGUAAUAGUCCUGUAUGUUAAACGAGAAGACUUUAGAUAUGAUCCAGAGUACCACGGGACACGUGAAACCCUGUGGGAAGCAGGAGGGACCACCCUCCAAGGCUAAAUACUACCUAGUGACCGAUAGCGUAUAGUACCGUGAGGGAAAGGUGAAAAGAACCCCGGGAGGGGAGUGAAAUAGAACCUGAAACCCUGCACUUACAAGCUGUGGAAGCACAUUUCUUGUGUGACCGCGUACUUUUUGUAGAACGGGCCAACGAGUUACGUUAAGUAGCAAGGUUAAGCACUUAAGGUGCGGAGCCGUAGCGAAAGCGAGUUUUAACUGAGCGUUCAGUUACUUGACGUAGACCCGAAACCGGGCGACCUACCCAUGAGCAGGAUGAAGCGAAAGUAAAAUUUCGUGGAGGUCCGAACCCACGAGCGUUGAAAAGCUCGGGGAUGACUUGUGGGUAGCGGUGAAAUUCCAAUCGAGCCCGGAGAUAGCUGGUUCUCCCCGAAAUAGCUUUAGGGCUAGCCUCAAGGUGAGAGAUACGGAGGUAGAGCACUGAAUGUCCUAGGGGGUAUUGCACCUACCGAAGACUAUCAAACUCCGAAUGCCGUCAUCUUAUACUUGGGAGUCAGACUGUGGGUGAUAAGAUUCAUAGUCGAAAGGGCAACAGCCCAGAUCGUCAGCUAAGGUCCCUAAAUGUAAGUUAAGUGGUAAAGGAUGUGGGAUUGCACAGACAACCAGGAUGUUGGCUUAGAAGCAGCCACUCAUUCAAAGAGUGCGUAAUAGCUCACUGGUCGAGUGAUCCUGCGCCGAAGAUUUCCGGGGCUAAAACUUACUACCGAAGCUACGGCAUCAGUAAUGAUGGGUAGGGGAGCUUCCCAUACGGGUUGAAGCAUGACCGUAAGGACAUGUGGACAGUAUGGGAGUGAGAAUGUUGGCAUGAGUAGCGAGAUGUGGGUGAGAAUCCCACAGGCCGUAAACCCAAGGUU
rnacentral:rRNA from 1 species